rnacentral:rRNA from 1 species
UACGGGGGGAGCAAGCGUUGUUCGGAUUUACUGGGCGUAAAGGGCGCGUAGGCGGCGCAACAAGUCACUUGUGAAAUCUCCGGGCUUAACUCGGAGCGGCCAAGUGAUACUGUCGUGCUAGAGUGCGGAAGGGGCAACUGGAAUUCUCGGUGUAGCGGUGAAAUGCGUAGAUAUCGAGAGGAACACCUGCGGCGAAGGCGGGUUGCUGGGCCGUAACUGACGCUGAGGAGCGAAAGCAUGGGGAGCGAACAGG